rnacentral:rRNA from 1 species
GAUGAACGCUGGCGGCGUGCCUAACACAUGCAAGUCGAACGGAACUUCUUUGACAGAAUUCUUCGGAAGGAAGUUGAUUAAGUUUAGUGGCGGACGGGUGAGUAACGCGUGAGUAACCUGCCUUUGAGAGGGGAAUAACUUCCCGAAAGGGAUGCUAAUACCGCAUGAUGCAUAGAAGUCGCAUGGCUUUUAUGCCAAAGAUUUAUCGCUCAAAGAUGGACUCGCGUCCGAUUAGCCAGUUGGCGGGUAGCGGCCCACCAAAGCGACGAUCGGUAGCCGGACUGAGAGGUUGAACGGCCACAUUGGGACUGAGACACGGCCCAGACUCCUACGGGAGGCAGCAGUGGGGGAUAUUGCGCAAUGGGGGAAACCCUGACGCAGCAACGCCGCGUGAAGGAUGAAGGUUUUCGGAUUGUAAAACUUCUUUAAUUUAGGUACGAAGAAUGACGGUACUAAAUGAAUAAGCUCCGGCUAACUACGUG